rnacentral:rRNA from 1 species
GACGAACCGUGCGAACGUUAUUCGGAUUCACUGGGCUUAAAGGGCGCGUAGGCGGGCUCGAAAGUCAGGGGUGAAAGCCUCCAGCUUAACUGGAGAAGUGCCUUUGAUACUGCGAGUCUCGAGGGAGGUAGGGGCGUGCGGAACUUCCGGUGGAGCGGUGAAAUGCGUAGAUAUCGGAAGGAACACCGGUGGCGAAAGCGGCUCACUGAACCACAACUGACGCUGAGGCGCGAAAGCUAGGGGAGCAAACAGG